rnacentral:piRNA from 1 species
UAAGCUGAUGGGCAAUGAUGAACUGCUGAU